rnacentral:rRNA from 1 species
GACGAACGCUGGCGGCGUGCUUAACACAUGCAAGUCGAACGGAAAGGCCCUGCUUUUGUGGUGUGCUCGAGUGGCGAACGGGUGUGUCACACGUGAGUAACCUGCCCUUGACUUUGGGAUAACUUCAGGAAACUGGGGCUAAUACCGGAUAGGCGCUCCUGCUGCAUGGUGGGGGUUGGAAAGUUUCGGCGGUUGGGGAUGGACUCGCGGCUUAUCGGCUUGUUGGUGGGGUAGUGGCUUACCAAGGCUUUGACGGGUAGCCGGCCUGGGAGGGUGACCGGCCACAUUGGGACUAGGAUACGGCCAAGACUCCUACGGGAGGCAGCAGUGGGGAAUAUUGCACAAUGGGCGGAGGCCUGAGGCAGCACCGCCGCGUGCGGGAUGACGGCCUUCGGUUUGUAAACCGCUUCGGCAGGUGACGAAGCUUGAGUGACGGUAAUGAGUAAAGAAGCACCGGCUAACUACGUG